UAGGGAAUUGUUCGCAAUGGGCGCAAGCCUGACGACGCAACGCCGCGUGGGGGAUGAAGGCCUUAGGGUCGUAAACCCCUUUCAGCAGGGACGAAAAUGACGGUACCUGCAGAAGAAGCCCCGGCCAACUACGUGCCAGCAGCCGCGGUAAGACGUAGGGGGCGAGCGUUGUCCGGAUUUAUUGGGCGUAAAGAGCUCGUAGGCGGUUGCGUAAGUCGGAUGUGAAAACUCAGGGCUCAACCCUGAGACGCCAUCCGAUACUGCGCUGACUUGAAUCCAGUAGGGGAGUGUGGAAUUCCUGGUGUAGCGGUGAAAUGCGCAGAUAUCAGGAGGAACACCCAUGGCGAAGGCAGCACUCUGGGCUGGUAUUGACGCUGAGGAGCGAAAGCAUGGGUAGCGAACAGGAUUAGAUACCCACGUAGUCCCUGAGCGGGCUGGCAAGGCGCAU
rnacentral:rRNA from 1 species